rnacentral:SRP_RNA from 2 species
GCUGGGCGUGGUGGCGGGCGCCUGUAGUCCCAGCUACUCUGGAGGCUGAGGCAGGAGAAUCACUUGAACCCGGGAAGUGGAGGUUGCAGUGAGCUGAGAUCAUGCCACUGCAUUCCAGCCUGGGCAACAGAGUGAGACCCUGUCUCAA